rnacentral:rRNA from 4 species
UGACCCCAUGCCGAACUCAGAAGUGAAACGCCGUAGCGCCGAUGGUAGUGUGGGGUCUCCCCAUGCGAGAGUAGGGAACUGCCAGAC